UACGGAGGGUACAAGCGUUAUCCGGAAUCACUGGGUUUAAAGGGUGCGUAGGCGGUCUGAUAAGUCAGUUGUGAAAUUCCUCGGCUUAACCGAGUGGACUGCGAUUGAUACUGUCAGACUUGAAUCAGGUUGAGGUAGGCGGAAUGUGACAUGUAGCGGUGAAAUGCUUAGAUAUGUCAUAGAACACCGAUUGCGAAGGCAGCUUGCUGGGCUUAGAUUGACGCUGAGGCACGAAAGCGUGGGGAGCAAACAGG
rnacentral:rRNA from 1 species